CAGGCUGUGUGAGUCCCAGCUCCUCUCCUGUUGCUGAUAAUGGCGGCGAUCCUCUGCCAGGCGCUCUGGAAACCUUGUGACUUGUGCUGCAAGGGAAU
rnacentral:ribozyme from 1 species